rnacentral:rRNA from 1 species
AUUGAACGCUGGCGGCAGGCCUAACACAUUCAAGUCGAACGAGGGGCGGACGGGUGAGUAAUGUAUGGGGAUCUGCCCGAUAGAGGGGGAUAACUACUGGAAACGGUGGCUAAUACCGCAUACUAUCGGAUGUACCCAGAUGGGAUUAGCUAGUAGGUGGGGUAAAGGCUCACCUAGGCGACGAUCUCUAGCUGGUCUGAGAGGAUGAUGAGCCAGACUGGAACUGAGACACGGCCCAGACUCCUAAGGGAGGCAGCAGUGGUGAAUAUGUCACAAGGGGCGAAAGCCUGAGGCAGCCAUGCCGCGGUUAUGAAGAAGGCCUUAGGGUUGUAAAGUACUUUCAGCGGGGAGGCGUGACACGAAGAAGAAGAACCGGCUAACUCCGUGCAAGCAGCAGCGGUAAUUC